UGGGGAAUAUUGCACAAUGGGCGAAAGCCUGAUGCAGCGACGCCGCGUGCGGGAUGAAGGCCUUCGGGUUGUAAACCGCUUUUGAUUGGGAGCAGCGAGAGUGAGUGUACCUUUCGAAUAAGCACCGGCUAACUACGUGCCAGCAGCCGCGGUAAUACGUAGGGUGCAAGCGUUAUCCGGAAUUAUUGGGGCGUAAAGAGCUCGUAGGCGGUUUGUCGCGUCUGGUGUGAAAGUCCAUCGCUUAACGGUGGAUCUGCGCCGGGUACGGGCAGGCUAGAGUGCGACAGGGGAGACUGGAAUUCCCGGUGUAACGGUGGAAUGUGUAGAUAUCGGGAAGAACACCAAUGGCGAAGGCAGGUCUCUGGGUCGUCACUGACGCUGAGGAGCGAAAGCGUGGGGAGCGAACAGGAUUAGAUACCCUGGUAGUCCACGCCGUAAACGGUGGAUGCUGAUGUGGGGCCCAUUCCACGGGUUCCGUGU
rnacentral:rRNA from 1 species